rnacentral:rRNA from 1 species
AACGAACGCUGGCGGCAUGCCUAACACAUGCAAGUCGAACGAGACCUUCGGGUCUAGUGGCGCACGGGUGCGUAACGCGUGGGAACCUGCCCUUAGGUUCGGAAUAACUCCCCGAAAGGGGUGCUAAUACCGGAUAAUGUCUUCGGACCAAAGAUUUAUCGCCUUUGGAUGGGCCCGCGUUGGAUUAGCUUGUUGGUAGGGUAAAAGCCUACCAAGGCGACGAUCCAUAGCUGGUCUGAGAGGAUGAUCAGCCACACUGGGACUGAGACACGGCCCAGACUCCUACGGGAGGCAGCAGUGGGGAAUAUUGGAAAAUGGGCGAAAGCCUGAUCCAGCAAUGCCGCGUGAGUGAUGAAGGCCUUAGGGUUGUAAAGCUCUUUUACCCGGGAUGAUAAUGACAGUACCGGGAGAAUAAGCUCCGGCUAACUCCGUG